GGAAGUAAAAGUCGUAACAAGUUUUCCGUAGGUGAACCUGCGGAAGGAUCAUUGUCACACAUCCUAAUGGAUGCUUGUGCCAACAAGCAGACCCAGCGAACCAUUCUCCUAUCACUUGAGGGGCUGCAUCGCGAGGUGCAGCUGUCUGCGGUCGAGCCCUUGCUUCAGGGCCGGAGUCCUUGCUGGGUUCACCGUUGCAGGUGAGCACCGGCCGUCCGACGGGGGCCGCUCUUGGGCCUCGCACACGGGAGAGUGCGGGGGCGGCGUUUCCCACUCCAGCUGUCCCUUCCGGGGCAGCUGCGCAACCAACCAAAACACUAUGCAAAAACCGACUGAAGACCGAUCCUUUGCGGGCGCCUUCGGGAGCCCUGCCUCGGAUCAAAAACAAACUAAAGACAACUCUCAACAACGGAUAUCUUGGCUCAC
rnacentral:misc_RNA from 1 species